rnacentral:rRNA from 1 species
UACGUAGGGGGCAAGCGUUGUUCGGAAUUACUGGGCGUAAAGGGCUCGUAGGCGGCCAACUAAGUCAGACGUGAAAUCCCUCGGCUUAACUGGGGAACUGCGUGUGAUACUGGAUGGCUUGGAUUUGGGAGAGGGAUGCGGAAUUCCAGGUGUAGCGGUGAAAUGCGUAGAUAAUCUGGAGGAACACCGGUGGCGAAAGGCGGCAUCCUGGACCAAUAUUGACGCUGAGGAGCGAAAGCCAGGGGAGCAAACGGG